rnacentral:rRNA from 1 species
GCUUAAAACUCAAAGGACUUGGCGGUGCUUUACAUCCCUCUAGAGGAGCCUGUUCUAUAAUCGAUAAACCCCGAUAUACCUCACCAUCUCUUGCUAAUUCAGCCUAUAUACCGCCAUCUUCAGCAAACCCUAAAAAGGAAUAAAAGUAAGCACAAGUAUCUUAACACAAAAAAGUUAGGUCAAGGUGUA